GACGAACGCUGGCGGCGUGCUUAACACAUGCAAGUCGAACGGAAAGACCCUGCUUUUGUGGGGUGCUCGAGUGGCGAACGGGUGAGUAACACGUGAGUAACCUGCCCUUGACUUUGGGAUAACUUCAGGAAACUGGGGCUAAUACCGGAUAGGAGCUCCUGCUGCAUGGUGGGGGUUGGAAAGUUUCGGCGGUUGGGGAUGGACUCGCGGCUUAUCAGCUUGUUGGUGGGGUAGUGGCUUACCAAGGCUUUGACGGGUAGCCGGCCUGAGAGGGCGACCGGCCACAUUGGGACUGAGAUACGGCCCAGACUCCUACGGGAGGCAGCAGUGGGGAAUAUUGCACAAUGGGCGGAAGCCUGAUGCAGCAACGCCGCGUGCGGGAUGACGGCCUUCGGGUUGUAAACCGCUUUCGCCUGUGACGAAGCGUGAGUGACGGUAAUGGGUAAAGAAGCACCGGCUAACUACGUG
rnacentral:rRNA from 1 species